rnacentral:rRNA from 1 species
AUUGAACGCUGGCGGCAGGCCUAACACAUGCAAGUCGAACGAGUGGCGGACGGGUGAGUAAUGUCUGGGAAAAUGCCCGAUGGAGGGGGAUAACUACUGGAAACGGUAGCUAAUACCGCAUACCAUCGGAUGUGCCCAGAUGGGAUUAGCUAGUAGGUGGGGUAAAGGCUCACCUAGGAGACGAUCCCUAGCUGGUCUGAGAGGAGGACCAGCCACACUGGAACUGAGACACGGUCCAGACUCCGCCGGGAGGCAGCAGUGGGGAAGAUUGCACAAGGGGCGCAAGCCUGAUGCAGCCAUGCCGCGUGUAUGAAGAAGGCCUUCGGGUUGUAAAGUACUUUCAGCGAGGAGGCGUUACUCGCAGAAGAAGCACCUGCUAACUCCGUGCCAGCAGCCGCGGUAAUUC